UACGUAGGGUGCAGGCGUUAAUCGGAAUUACUGGGCGUAAAGCGUGCGCAGGCGGUUUGCUAAGACAGGUGUGAAAUCCCCGGGCUUAACCUGGGAACUGCGCUUGUUACUGGCAGGCUUGAGUGUGGCAGAGGGGGGUGGAAUUCCACGUGUAGCAGUGAAAUGCGUAGAGAUGUGGAGGAACACCGAUGGCGAAGGCAGCCCCCUGGGCCAACACUGACGCUCAUGCACGAAAGCGUGGGGAGCAAACAGG
rnacentral:rRNA from 1 species